rnacentral:rRNA from 1 species
AUUGAACGCUGGCGGCAGGCCUAACUCUUGCAAGUCGAGCGAGCGGCGGACGGGUGAGUAAUGUAUGGGGUCUGCCCGAUAGAUGGGGAUAACUACUGGAAACGGUAGCUAAUACCGCAUACUAUCGGAUAACCCAUAUGGGAUUAGAUAGUAGGUGAGGUAAUGGCUCACCUAGCCGACGAUCCCUAGCUGGUCUGAGAGGAUGAUCAGCCACACUGGGACGGAGACACGGCCCAGACUCCUACGGAGGCAGCAGUGGGGAAUAUUGCACAAUGGGCGCAAGCCUGAUGCAGCCAUGCCGCGUGUAUGAAGAAGGCCCUAGGGUUGUAAAGUACUUUCAGUCGGGAGGCGUUACCGACAGAAGAAGCACCGGCUAAGUAAGAGCCAGCAGCCGCGGUAAUAC